AAUGUAUUUUAUCAUGGUAUUAGAUUUAUUCCAACGCUUGAAUACAUAGUACUUUAUGGGUUAAGAGAAAACAUGGGUUAGUGCAUGCUUUUGCUCGUGUCUAUCAGUUGGCAUGGUUUUUUCGACAUUAGUAUAAAUUAUUAGGCAACGCAAGAAAUUGUGGCCUAGAAGUUUUGGAUGAGAGUGGCUAAAAUGAAUGCCAGCAGCCGCGGUUAGAUUCAUGCUUUAUUAAAUCUUGACGGUUUUAUUAGAUGCAUUUAACUAAUAGCUUUAGAAGGUGUGGAACAGGGGUGUAAUUUUUUUUCCACGUGCUUAGAUCAAAAAAAGUUGUGAUGUUUCUUAUGAAAGCAUGGUUAAAAACCGGGAUUUGAUACCCCGUUAUUCAUGAGGUAAAAUAAGAUUACCAGAUGACUAAAAGUUGGUUCUUCAAAGUUAAAUGAAUAGGCGGCCUCCAACAAACAUACAGGGGAAUCUGGGAGUUAAAAGAUGAUCCGCUUACAUUUGUUCUUUUUCUUAUUUUGCAUAUGUAUGGUUGUUUAUGAAUCAAUAUGCGUAAGAUAUUGGUGUAAUUCUCAUUAGUUAAAAGUAGUGGGAAAUAAUUCAGAUUAACAUGUAGCUAUGAUAAAGCCAUCCUGGAUGACAGUUGGGAAAUCACUUAUAUACUAAAUUAAGUAUAUAUCGUCGGCCGAGAAAGUUGAAAAUUUUCUUGAAAGAAGGACUUGUGAGUAAGUUUGCUAAAUAAUAGUAGGCUGAAAAGGACACUGGAGGAGUACUAAUCGCCCGUCGCUCGCGGAGAAAUCUGAGAUAAGUCGUAACAAGGUAACGGUACCGGAAGGUGUUGUUAAAUAGUU
rnacentral:ncRNA from 1 species